rnacentral:rRNA from 1 species
ACGGGUGCGUAACGCGUGGGAAUCUGCCCUUGGGUUCGGAAUAACAGUUAGAAAUGACUGCUAAUACCGGAUGAUGUCUUCGGACCAAAGAUUUAUCGCCCAAGGAUGAGCCCGCGUAAGAUUAGCUAGUUGGUGGGGUAAUGGCCCACCAAGGCGACGAUCUUUAGCUGGUCUGAGAGGAUGAUCAGCCACACUGGGACUGAGACACGGCCCAGACUCCUACGGGAGGCAGCAGUGGGGAAUAUUGGACAAUGGGCGAAAGCCUGAUCCAGCAAUGCCGCGUGAGUGAUGAAGGCCUUAGGGUUGUAAAGCUCUUUUACCAGGGAUGAUAGUGACAGUACCUGGAGAAUAAGCUCCGGCUAACUCCGUGCCAGCAGCCGCGGUAAUACGGAGGGAGCUAGCGUUGUUCGGAAUUACUGGGCGUAAAGCGUACGUAGGCGGUUACUCAAGUCAGAGGUGAAAGCCCGGGGCUCAACCCCGGAACUGCCUUUGAAACUAGGUAGCUAGAGUCUUGGAGAGGUUAGUGGAAUUCCGAGUGUAGAGGUGAAAUUCGUAGA